CGCACUCGACUGGCCCGAUCUCGCCCGAACGGGUCAAUGUCUGAGGAGGCAUCGAAAAAUCCAUGGUCGGUGUGGUGUUGCCGUGCACGACGAGGCAGAGAAGUCGUCGCUGAUCGCCGUGUAUCGUUCGAUAUUGCCGCGUGAACGCGCGCGCCCCUUUUUCCCCCGUGCUUUUUCCGCGUAACGCCGCGAUAUAUCGGGUGGCUGCUGCGGGAGCAGUGCGUGUCGCCUCUGGUCGGGCACCGGACCGGAGAACGAAAGAGAGACAGAGACAGAGGAGAACGAGGCGGACCGAUUACGGGCGGUGAACGCGAGGACCCCGCGACGACGAGAACGGCGGCGACAGCGACGACGAUCACGACUACCACCACGACGACGAGGAUCUCCCGUCGAGUGCGAGCGCUGUCGGGCACGAGGACGACGUGAAAGAAAGAAAAAGACGGAGAAACGUACGAUCGUUCUUUCGCCUCGUAAUUGUGGAGUCGCGCGCGACGGUAACACAGCGAAAUGCAGUGCGGAAGCCUGCCAGGUAUCGGCGACGAGUAGUCAGAAGAGUGGAACAGCCGGAGUGACGAGACUCGUAGCGUAGUGCGACGAGGAGAGAUCGAGACGGGAAGCAAGCCAGCGAGGAAGAAAGAGAGAGAGAGACAAUCGGUCAGUCGGAGUGAAGUGAGGCGGUGGUGUUCUCGUGCGUACGAGAGAGAGGGAGAGAGAGAGAACGACGAAGCAUUGCCAAGAUAGUCGCGCGAGAGCGGCGAAGGAGGGACAGAGAGAGAGUAUAAGCGGGCGGACGAAGACCGAACAACGCGACAUCGUCGUCAGCCCACCGCACGGUGGCGCGCGUGAGAUACGUCGUCGGCGGGCGGUAGAGAGUAGCGCGAGCUACGUGAACGAGAGUGCCGCGAGAAAACGGGACGGAGGAAAGAGCCGCCUCGCCGUGGAAUCGCGCGCAACGGAAGCGGUGUUACAUAGAGGAGGCCGAGAAAGAAAGAGAGAAAGAGUUCACGCGCGCGCCUUUGCCGUGCACCUCCGCCGCCGUAACCGUACUAGCCGUUCCGAAAACGUCGGCCAAUCGCUCGCACCCCUCGCUGUUCACCAGCAGCAGCGCUCCGCAGCGUCGUCCCGCGCCCUCCUCCGCUCAUUGGCUGGCGGCAUCGCGUUUCUCUCGGGGAUCAUCCAUCGUCGUCGGCAGCAGGAGCGGGAACAAGAUCGGCGACAACGAGGCGACCACCACCGUCGCCUCGAGAAAGAAAGAGAAAAGAAACAUAUCCUGUCCGUGAACGGAGCGUGAAACCGCGAAGAGAUCUCUCGUCCGGCUCACGACGCGGUCGCGCUCGGGUGCCGAGAGAGUGCGCGUUCGUGGUCGUCGGUAGUGCGUCGGCAGAGAGAAAGAAGAGAGGGUAGUGUCGAACAGGAAGAGAAAGAAAAAGAGUGAGUGAGUACACGCGCGCCUACGUACGUCGAAUCGGGUGGUGGUGCGCGCGUGAACAACCCGAUCCGCUCGUCCGCCUGCCAAAUCGCGUGUCAACUCCGCGUACGUGCGGUGCGUGCGUACGUACGUGCAUUCGCCGUCGGUACGUAUACGCGUCGCUGGUGUCGCGGCACGUCAUCGAGAGAGAGACAGGAGAGCCGAGCGGCGCCGUGCGCGCUCUCUCGAGCGGAUCGCCAGAACAGAGAGGAGACGGGAAGAGGCGACAGGCUCUCGGAGGAGAGAACGGCCGUGAAAAUUGCAGCACCGCGUUUCCCGGUCCCGCGUUACUUCUCCCUUUUCGUCACCCCCACCCCGCUUCCACUUUGCUGCGGCCCCGCCACCCCUCUCUCUCCUCCCGGUCUUCCUUCGUGCCACCCCCCUUUCCCUCCCGACCGUCGAUCGAGCGCGGCGACGACGUAACGCAGAGGCGCGGGUAGGAAGAAAACACGAGCGGGUGACGAGAGAAAAGGGGAAAGCGGGAGAGUGAGAGAGAAAGAGGAGUAAGAAGCGCUGGCGGCAGUAGCGGAAGAGGAGCGAAAAGAGAAGAAGAAGAGUGCGAAGGGGGGAGCAGAGUGAGUUAGCAGCGCGUGUUGUGUGCGUACGCGCGUGCGGUUUCCUCGACGGUGCGUGCGUGCGUGUCGCCGCGGUGAGCAGCGCGAGCGAGUCGCGCGCGCUCCUCGUGCGAUGUGAUAAUCGCGGUGUGAGGUUCCGUCAUUGAUGUGCGAGGUGGUGUUGACGGCGACGACGACGACGUCGACGACGAGGAGCGCUACCACUAUUAGCACCACCGCCGCCGCCGCGACCAGGGGCUGCUUUUUGACGUGCACGUACGCGCGGUGGCGUAGGAGGGGGAGGAGGAGAAAGUGCUACUGCCGGUGCCGGCCGAGGAGGCGGCCAGCGACGACGAGCCGGGCGACGAUAGACGAGGAGGAGAAGGCGGUGGCGGUCGAGACAGCCUCAGGAUGAGCGGACGACCGAGGACCACCUCCUUCGCCGAGGGCAACAAGCCGCCUACGAACCCACCCUUGGCAGGCGUGAAAAUGAGCAGUGGUGCGAUGUACAAUGCAGGCAAGGAUGGCAACAAGGUGACGACCGUCGUGGCAACCCCCGGCGCCGGGCCCGACCGCCCCCAAGAGGUCGCCUACACGGACACUAAAGUAAUCGGCAACGGCAGCUUCGGCGUGGUGUACCAAGCUAAGCUCUGCGAUUCAGGCGAGUUGGUCGCCAUCAAGAAGGUUCUUCAGGAUAAGCGAUUUAAGAACAGGGAGUUACAAAUCAUGCGUCGACUCGAGCACUGCAACAUCGUGAAACUCAAAUAUUUCUUUUACUCUAGUGGUGAAAAGAACAUCUUAAACGCGACUAAUCCGGUUUUUCACGUGGACAAGGACGAGGUUUAUCUCAAUCUAGUCCUGGAAUACAUACCCGAAACUGUGUACAAAGUCGCCCGACACUAUAGCAAAAGCAAGCAGACGAUACCAAUCAGUUUCAUCAAGCUGUACAUGUAUCAACUAUUUCGUUCGCUGGCGUAUAUCCACUCGCUGGGCAUCUGCCACAGGGACAUCAAGCCGCAGAAUCUGCUCCUGGACCCGGACACGGGCGUCCUCAAGCUCUGCGACUUCGGCUCGGCCAAACACCUGGUCAAGGGUGAACCCAACGUGUCUUACAUCUGCAGUCGCUACUAUCGCGCGCCCGAGCUCAUCUUUGGUGCUAUCGACUACACCACGAAGAUCGAUGUAUGGAGCGCGGGUUGCGUGUUGGCGGAACUGCUGCUCGGCCAGCCGAUAUUUCCCGGCGACAGUGGCGUGGACCAGCUCGUCGAGAUUAUCAAAGUCCUCGGUACGCCUACACGCGAUCAGAUACGUGAGAUGAACCCGAACUAUACCGAAUUCAAAUUUCCACAGAUUAAGUCGCAUCCCUGGCAAAAGGUGUUCAGGGCGCGCACGCCGCCGGAAGCGAUGGACCUGGUAGCGCGGCUGCUGGAGUACACGCCGUCCCUGCGUAUGACGCCGUUGCAGGCGUGCGCGCACUCGUUCUUCCACGAGCUGCGCGAUCAGGGCACGCGGCUACCGAGCGGCCGCGAGCUACCGCCGCUCUUCAACUUCACCGAGCACGAGCUGCGGAUCCAGCCGAUGCUCAACCCCAUGCUGAUACCGAAGUACAUGCAGUCGUCCACGGAUAACCCCGGCGGUGGAGGAGGCGGCGGCGGCGGAGGCGGCCAGUCGGAGGCCACGGGCGCCGCCGUCGGCGGCGCGGCGGGCGCCAGCGGUAACUCUAGCGAUAACUCUAGCGCCAAUCCCAACAGCACCACCACCACGACCACCACUACGACCAACACCAACACCAACACCACCCACAACACCGACAACCCCGGCCAAUCGAACAUGGCCUGAGCCACCACCAGCCGCUUCAUCACUCUCUUUCUUUGAUUUCUUUUCUCUCCGUCCCCCCCCCCUUCCCCAUCCAACAAUCCUCCCCUCCUCCCCCCUAAAUAUCUCCCUCUCCUGCGUAUCAUUAUCCUGUUUCUUUUCUAACGUUAUUAUAUCAAAGUGUUAGAGUGUAAGUAGUCGUUCAAGGUGGCUGCGGUGUGUGACUACCACCGCCUGCACCCCCUCACCUCCCCACCCCCCGCCAGGGAGAAACCUUCUGACGAGGAUGUCCGCGCUUGUACGAAAAGAAUGCGAGUGUCUCGAUGCGAUAUUAAUUAGCCGAGCUGAGAGCGUGGCCGUACCAGCCACUGUCCCGAAAACACACAGCGUCUAGAUUUGUAAGAUUCUCACCAUUUUUCCCAUGUAGAGAGAGAGAGAGAGAGAGAGAGAGAGAGAGGGAGAGAGAGAGAGAGCGUGAUGAUUGCGAUUACGACUGCGACGGGGGUCCUCUUGCGGGUCUCGCGGCCCUCGCUCCCGCCGGAGUUUAACUAACCAACCAUGCGAAUUGUACAUAGGAGGAAGUACCCAAGCCGGUCUCACUUUUAGUAACGUUUAAUAACCGCCAAACCGCGACUCUAGUUGAAGGGAGAAGGAGGAGGAGGAGGAUGUGUAAUCCGACGUUUAGUAGCGUGUACGUUUUCUUAAGACACUGUGCGACCAUCGUGCAAAGCUUCUGCAAAGCCUCCGCCUUGGCGUUGCCGCCGAGUCGGUUUCAGUGUGUACAUAUAUAUAUAUGUAUAUAUAUAUAUAUAUAUACACACACCGGUUCCGCCUGCUUCGAUCUCGACAACCGUGCCGGAAACGCGACCCUGACAGAGGAUCAUACACGGCUCUGUGCUCGGCGUGUGCGCGUAAUCCGUAACGUUUCCAAAUGAUGUUAAUGUUAACGGGUUCCGAGACACACCGGCUCGUUAUUAACGUUCUGAGGGCACACUGCGAGAGCAAGGUCAGUCGUUUCUCGGUGACUGUGGCGGAAGGGUCACGACCCGCGACGGAUGUCAGCGCGCUCGAUGCUCUCCCCGCCUGCGCAUCGCGAGUUGUCGGGGCGAGUCGGCUCGUGGUGUACAUAGAGAAACCGGUCCCUCUUUAACCGCUAAAAGAGACACUAGUUAAAAGGUAAACCUAAGAAGGCAUAUAACCGAACGUCUCUAGACACUCUCUGCGAAUCAGCUUGAAAUGAAGAGAAAAGACGAGCCACCAAGUACCGAUGAUCAUUAGGGGACCGUCGCGAUUCGGCGGAAGCGAGCCGCGGAGCCGAGUCGAGCCCGCGGUGCACCCGGUAGAAAUCUUCCCGAUGACCCGGUUAUCUACCGGGAAGGAGAGCCUAACUCGUGCCACGAUCAUUCGACAAGACGGAAAGAAGGUGUUGCUGCUGCCACGGCUAAAGGUUCAGCUAGAUAAUGUUUCGAUGCUAUAGCUAGGACUUUAGUUACUAUUAUCAGGUGUGUAAGUGACGCUUUAGAUGUCUUCCGUAGCUAAAAUUGUAGUUGUCCAUGUACUAGCUAAAUCUUCGUUGUGACAUGUGGACACCUGCAAGUUUAUCCACAGUAGGCAUAUAUUAAGUAUGACGUCCGUACAUCUAGCAACAGUAAUUCAAGUCUCAGCUAUAGCAGCAAAAUUCUGACUAGGCGGCAACAAUUUUUUUCCCUGUGAACGUGUCGGUGUCUCGGUGAUUCUCUCUGCGGGAACGCCGCGGAAUCGGCUCGACCAGGUGUCGAAGACGACCGGAGGAGACUGUCGCGCGUCGACUGGUCUCACUUUAGCGACCCCGGAGACUCGAAGCGCGCAUUCACUACGAGGAGUCCGUUUUAAUAAAUUGCAACAUCGAGCAGGACGCUCCUAUGACGAAUAGACAGACUCAUUGUUUCGUCUCGGGGACGUUCUUCACGUUGCGUUUAUCGGUCUCCGACCGAGCGUGUCGAGAAGAACAUUGGCCGACGUGGCUGUCUGCGUGUCUCAGCGGUGUGAACGGCGCUUCGAGUCGCCUCCUUAUCGGACACUCCUCCGGGAUGUUCGAUUUAACUUUAUGUACUCGGCGUUGCGACGCUACUUACCGCAUCGCUUGACCAGCACCAGCUGAAUCAUCAUUGUCGCGCACGCGUGCCGCUCCCGCGCGACUUUUCUCGAANGAGAGAGAGAGAGAGAGAGAGAGAGAGAGAGAGAGAGAGAGAGAGAGAGAGAGACUCGUUCCUUCCAAAUUUGUUCUCUCCGUCUAUGUCGCGCCUCUGUUCUUUCUUUUUCCCCUUUUUACCCCACAUGACGAACCUCUUCUGACCGACCCAGCGGAGUGAUUUAUUUUUUUAAGCCGACGACACGUCAUAAACAAACAGACGCAAACACACACACACACAUACAAAACGAGAUAUCUCGCGACCGUAGUGACGAGUUUAACGAUGGAUUUCCCGAUACUUAGAGCGAACUCGCUUUCGCGAAGACGGAAAAUAAAGGUAAGACGAGAAAGAGAGAGAGAGAGAAAGAGAGAGUGCGCAACUCGAUGAGAAAGAGGGAGAGGGCGAACAACACACUGAGGAGAAGGAAAAAUCGUAAGAAGGGAGACCUCGAAAUUAGAGUUUUAUCGAUGUUAAAAGUACGAAUUAAGUUCUUUUUCUUUUAA